UACUGUAACUCUCUUCGAUUCCUUUUAUCUAAGAACUCUAGGUUUAUGAUUUAAGGAACGUUAGGGUAUGAUUGGAAACGAUUAUGCCUCCCAGUGUGGAAAGAAGAGAAGUGAUAGAGUAUA
rnacentral:ncRNA from 2 species